rnacentral:lncRNA from 1 species
CUUUGAAUCACGUGGUUUCGUCCGCACGCGCUACAAACACGCGCUCUUGUUUUCGUCGUCGCUGCUGUUUUUGUCACACUUUGUGGUGUUUUAGCUACAAUAUUGUGGUCAUUAGUAUUUGUGAACCUGUAUCAAUAACGUUACAAUAAACAUAAUUUUGAUGUAGUUCUUAAACUUUUUAACUUAGAAUUCUGUCGUUUUCUUACCGAAUUUUCAUUUAACCCACAUGAAACUAAAUACAUGAUGAUUAGGGCUGUGCGUAUGAUAUUUGUAAUUUAAAGGUGUCAUUUUAAUUUUGUUAGUUGUUUAUAUCACUACUAUCCUCAUUACAUUCAGUGAUAGAGGGCAAUAACGAUUUAUGAGUAACAUUAGUCUAGGACAAAUAACAUUAAGGAUUCUGUAUGGUCUGGUAUGGGAUGGGAUGGGAUGGAGGUCCACAGGAGGUGACACCAACUCUAGUGACGCCACUGGCGACAUGGUAAAACAUGGUGUUCAGACGGAAUGCGGCCGAAGGACCUUGAGCCAUGAUGUUGUGUGCACAGUUGGUGGAGGACUCGCUCGGCACACUGCGAAUCGCUGUCGUGUCCCUCCGCCCACCAGCAGGGGGCGCACAAGCACCGCGGGUCACGAAUAGGGGCCUCCGCUGUAGUCGUCACGAGGGCGAGUGUCGUUCCCGCGCCGUUCGGCUCCGCUCGAGACACCACAGCCAAGAUGGCGGACGUCGACUCGUGGGAUGCGGACAACUUCGAGCCGGACGAACCGAUCCAAAAGGCGGCAGCGCUGGACAGAUGGGAAGGCGAGGACGAGGAGGAGGAUGUGAAGGAAAACUGGGAUGAUGAAGAUGAGGAUGAGAAGGCUGAAAUGAAAAAACAAGGUAAGUUGGUAAAAUUCUUUACUUAAAAAAAAAAAAAAUGGGGGGGCUUUCCAGACAUGUAUUAUUUGCUUUUAAUUCUUUUUUCAGAAGUAAAAAUACCAGAGAAAAAAAAACUAAGUGAAAAAAUAAAAGCGAAAGAAAGUAUACAAAUGAAGAAACAAGAUGAGAUGAAAGAAACGGUAAGAUUAAUUUUUUUGGUUUGUUUUUGUCAUUCUAAAUACAAAUAUUGUACUUAGAUUUUUACAAAUUCAAACAAAUCAAGAAUGUAGACAUACUGGAAGGUACAUGUUUAAAAGUAAACUUUUUUUCUACACAUAUUGAACCAUGUAGCAAAGUUUUGAAGAUUGAAGGGUUCAGCAUGGACAAAUGCUCUUCCCCAGGUAGCACAAUCAAAACAAGACCAAGAGCUUACACCAGAUGAAGAAUUGGCAGAAAAAGUAAGAGUAAGGAAGCUGCAGGAAGAGGCAGAUCUGGAACUGGCACAGGAGGCAUUUGGUAUAACUAAUAAUGUUACAGGAAUUGAUGCCAUGAACCCAUCCUCUAAAGAUGACUUUACAGAGUUUCAGAAGUUGCUGAAAGACAAAAUAUCUUCAUAUGAAAAAUCUGUGCAUUAUUCCAGCUUUUUGGAGUCAUUGUUUCGAGACCUAUGCCUUUCACUGGAAGUGGAAGACCUAAAGAAAAUUAGCAACUCUCUGACAGUACUACUCAGUGAAAAACAGAAGCAGGAAAAGCAAAACAAGGCAAAGAAGAAGAAAAAAGGUGUCCUUCCAGGGGGAGGCCUAAAGGCCACACUAAAGGAUGACCUGGAGGCCUAUGGGGACUUUGAUGGAGGCUAUGUGCAAGACUUUGAGGACUUCAUGUGACAAAGGCUGGACCUUGACCCACCUCAUUCCUUUCAGCCACUCAGUCUGUUCAACACUAUUGUAGGAAUACAGACCCCCUUUGUCUUUGGUCUUCAUGGGUAAAAAUGUCUUCAGAGAACUCCUCAGGCCUUUGUGUCCAUUGUGGCCCCCCUCCAAAGCUAAUGUCCUGGAGAAUAAAGAUAACUACACCUCAAAUUUCUUUAGAAAA